rfam:Camelus ferus unplaced genomic scaffold scaffold273, whole genome shotgun sequence.
GGAGAGUAGAGCUCAGUGAUAGGGUGUGUGCUUAGCAUGCACAAGGUCCUGGGUUCAAUCCCCAGGACCUCCA